UUACUUUUAAAAACAAACUACAUACAUAUCUCACAUUUGCGAGGACUACUUCAUCACAAGCAAAAAAUCGACAUUGGUAAAUAAAGGUCUGUCUUCUAUAACCACGAUGAAAAGAAAAGCUGGGCGAAAACAUUUGAGACUGCAGAUUGCAGAACUGGAACACUCUAUUUGAAGACAGUGGCUGCUGAGUGCUGAGCUGCAUCAAAUCUAUCAGCAUCAUGUAACUUCGAUCAGGAACAGACUCCAUUUCAUUUCCGACAACUAGCACCUGUUUUCCCUAGACUUACCAAGUAUUAAGUAACUGCAUUAGUAUUAGGUUAAAUUAAAGGCCCUACAUCGAACAAGUCUAACAAUUAAAACUUAAAUGCAAGAGUGCACAAUUUAUCACUAAAUAUCUUCCUCUUUUAAUUCUAAUCAACACACGGUUUCGUCUUUGUUUCACCCAAUCGUGCUGAUAAUCAGUAAUCAUGCACUCUGCACUCUAACUUCGAGAUGUUUCAAAAGGGCUCCCGACGAGUUGAAUUAGAUCAAUAUUUUCUUUUGAUACAUAGAUACUGAUUGGGAGGUUCAUCAUACUAUUCUUGUCACAUGGUAACGAUUAACGAUUAGCUGAUCAGCUUCCAGCAUCGACAGGCCGAAAUCCAUAAAUAUAAUCAGUUGUAAUUUAAUAUUUAUCAUCGUCCGGAUCAUCAUAAUAUUUUAAUUUAAAGUUACAAUUGAACGGUGUUAAGAAAGAUAAUUUAAGAGAAAUGUUUUGAAAGUGCCUGAUUUCGAGUAUAAGAUCUGUACUGAUACAUUAAUUUUCAGAUUGUUAUUAUAGUUUAUUUGUAUUUUUUAUAUUAUCUUAUCCGCACAAGUUCGGAAGCCAUCUGAACGCUAUUGCCAGACACAGGCAUAUAUUUAUUUUGGGGUAUCAUGCUCUCAGAAAUUUCAACUCAGUCCGAUAUUAUAGUUAUACUAACCUGCAUUGCAUAAGGUUAAUUGUCUCGCAGUCUAGUGCAUAAACCUUUUA